rnacentral:rRNA from 1 species
CCUACGAGAGGCAGCAGUAGGGAAUUUUCGACAAUGGGCGCAAGCCUGAACGAGCGAUGCCGCGUGAGUGAAGAAGGCCUUCGGGUCGUAAAGCUCUGUCGCCGGGGAAAAAAGCCAGCAUUAGGAAAUGGGUGCUGACUGAUGGUGCCCCGGCAGAAAGCCACGGCCAACCACGUGACAGCAGCCGCGGUAAUACGUAGGUGGCGAGCGUUAACCGGAAUGAUUGGCCGUAGAGGGUGCGCAGCCGGUCCUGCAAGUCUGGUGUGAAGCGCAUGGGCCUAACUCAUGCAUGGCUUUGGCAACUGGUGGACUGGAGAGCAGGCGAGGUCGGUGGAACUCCAUGUGUAGCGGUAAAAUGCGUAGAUAUAUGGAAGAACACCAGUGGCGAAGGCGGCCGCCUGGACUGUUGCUGACGCUGAGGCACGAAAGCGUGGGGAGCAAAUAGGAUUAGAUACCCUAGUAGUC